UACGGGGGGGGCAAGCGUUGUUCGGAAUUACUGGGCGUAAAGGGCGCGUAGGCGGCCUUCUAAGUCGGACGUGAAAUCCCUCGGCUUAACCGAGGAACUGCGUCCGAUACUGAAAGGCUUGAAUCCGGGAGAGGGAUGUGGAAUUCCAGGUGUAGCGGUGAAAUGCGUAGAUAUCUGGAGGAACACCGGUGGCGAAGGCGGCAUCCUGGACAGUGACUGACGCUGAGACGCGAAAGCGUGGGGAGCAAACAGG
rnacentral:rRNA from 1 species